AAACGCUUGAAGUCAGUCGCGUCGUUCAGGAUUCAGCCUUGCUUUUGCUUGGUGCACUUCCUGUUCGAUGGGUCAGCAUCAGUUUUGGCCGGUGGAUAAAGGCUCAGAGAAUGUGGCAUCUUCGGGUGUGUUAUAGCCUCUUGUUGUAUACAUUGGUUGGGACUGAGGAAUUCAGCACGCCGCAAGGCCGGGUUUUUAACCACGUUCGUGCUUAGGAUGCUGGCAUAAUGGCUUUAAUCGA
rnacentral:rRNA from 1 species